UACGAAGGGGGCUAGCGUUGUUCGGAAUUACUGGGCGUAAAGCGCGCGCAGGCGGCUAUCCAAGUCAGUGGUGAAAGCCCGGAGCUCAACUCCGGAACUGCCAUUGAAACUGUUUAGCUUGAGGAUGAGAGAGGUGAGUGGAAUUCCCAGUGUAGAGGUGAAAUUCGUAGAUAUUGGGAAGAACACCGGUGGCGAAAGCGGCGCACUGGACCAUAACUGACGCUGAGGCGCGAAAGCUAGGGGAGCAAACAGG
rnacentral:rRNA from 1 species